UAGUCCACGCCGUAAACGAUGAUCACUCGUUGCUAGCGAUACACUGUUAGUGACCAAGCGAAAGUGUUAAGUGAUCCACCUGGGAAGUACGUUCGCAAGAAUGAAACUCAAAGGAAUUGACGGGGGCCCGCACAAGCGGUGGAGCAUGUGGUUUAAUUCGAUGAUACGCGAGGAACCUUACCAGGGCUUAAAUGCAGAAUGACAGAUUGGGAAACCAGUCCUUCUUCGGACAUUUUGCAAGGUGCUGCAUGGUUGUCGUCAGCUCGUGCCGUGAGGUGUCAGGUUAAGUCCUAUAACGAGCGCAACCCCUAUCCAUUACGUUGCCAGCGGGUAAUGCCGGGAACUCUAAUGAGACUGCCCAGCGCAAGCUGCGAGGAAGGUGGGGGAUGACGUCAAAUCAUCACGGGCCCUUACGUCCUGGGGCUACACACGUGCUACAAUGGUUGGGACAAUGGGGGCAGGCCACUACGCGAGUAGGGAGCUAAUCCU
rnacentral:rRNA from 1 species